rnacentral:rRNA from 1 species
AGAGUUUGAUCCUGGCUCAGAUUGAACGCUGGCGGUAGGCUUAACACAUGCAAGUCGAGCGGUAACGGGGAGUAGCUUGCUACUCUGCUGACGAGCGGCGGACGGGUGAGUAACGCGUAGGAAUCUACCUAUUGGUGGGGGAUAGCCCGGGGAAACCCGGAUUAAUACCGCAUAAGCUCUAAGGAGGAAAGCAGGGGAUCUUCGGACCUUGCGCCAAUAGAUGAGCCUGCGUCGGAUUAGCUAGUUGGUGGGGUAAAGGCCUACCAAGGCGACGAUCCGUAGCUGGUCUGAGAGGAUGAUCAGCCACAUCGGGACUGAGACACGGCCCGAACUCCUACGGGAGGCAGCAGUGGGGAAUAUUGGACAAUGGGGGCAACCCUGAUCCAGCCAUACCGCGUGUGUGAAGAAGGCUUUCGGGUUGUAAAGCACUUUCAGACGUGAGGAAAGGGGUACGGUUAAUACCCGUAUCAGUUGACGUUAGCGUCAGAAGAAGCACCGGCUAACUCCGUGCCAGCAGCCGCGGUAAUACGGAGGGUGCAAGCGUUAAUCGGAAUUACUGGGCGUAAAGCGCGCGUAGGUGGCUAAGUCAGUCAGAUGUGAAAGCCCAGGGCUCAACCUUGGAAUUGCACCUGAUACUGCUUGGCUAGAGUAUGGUAGAGGGGUGUGGAAUUUCCUGUGUAGCGGUGAAAUGCGUAGAUAUAGGAAGGAACACCAGUGGCGAAGGCGACACCCUGGACCAAUACUGACACUGAGGUGCGAAAGCGUGGGUAGCAAACAGGAUUAGAUACCCUGGUAGUCCACGCCGUAAACGAUGUCUACUAGCCGUUGGGAGACUUGAUUUCUUAGUGGCGCAGCUAACGCGAUAAGUAGACCGCCUGGGGAGUACGGUCGCAAGAUUAAAACUCAAAUGAAUUGACGGGGGCCCGCACAAGCGGUGGAGCAUGUGGUUUAAUUCGACGCAACGCGAAGAACCUUACCUACUCUUGACAUCCUGCGAACUUGCUAGAGAUAGCUUGGUGCCUUCGGGAACGCAGUGACAGGUGCUGCAUGGCUGUCGUCAGCUCGUGUUGUGAAAUGUUGGGUUAAGUCCCGUAACGAGCGCAACCCUUGUCCUUAUUUGCCAGCACGUAAUGGUGGGAACUUUAAGGAGACUGCCGGUGACAAACCGGAGGAAGGUGGGGACGACGUCAAGUCAUCAUGGCCCUUACGAGUAGGGCUACACACGUGCUACAAUGGACGGUACAGAGGGUUGCGAAGCAGCGAUGUGGAGCCAAUCCCAGAAAACCGUUCGUAGUCCGGAUCGGAGUCUGCAACUCGACUCCGUGAAGUCGGAAUCGCUAGUAAUCGCGAAUCAGAAUGUCGCGGUGAAUACGUUCCCGGGCCUUGUACACACCGCCCGUCACACCAUGGGAGUGGAUUGCACCAGAAGUAGGUAGUCUAACCUUCGGGAGGACGCUUACCACGGUGUGGUUCAUGACUGGGGUGAAGUCGUAACAAGGUAACCGUA